rnacentral:rRNA from 1 species
AUGAGCACUAAUACAAAUGUCAACCCUGCACCCAAGGAUGCCGAGGAGAAGAAAGCAGCCGGCUCGUCCUCCUCCUCAUCGGAGCACCUGGAUGAAGACGAUGAUUUCUUCCAGAUCGAGGGACCGGUCCUCAAUACCCAAUUCUCCCUGGCCGGACCAAACCUCGACGGAUGCCCAGACCCGAAAAGGAUCCCCUCGUCAGUCUUCGCAAGGACGUCAACAUUGCAAACCGACUGGAGCGUCACGUCGAACGAGGCUCUCUUCAGCAUCAAUGUCGGGAACACGAGCUUCGACAAGGACCAUAAGGUCUUGUAUGGCAAGUCGGGUGAGAUGGGCAACCCCAACGAGCCUUUGGCGCCAUUGCCAUCGUUCCCGAAGCAGAGCCCAGGGUCCAGCCCCAUCAAGGGGGCAGUGUCACCCAAGGCAACCGGAGAAGGCAGCUCGACUGUGAAGGGGGAAGGAGACGCGGAUCACAUAGAUAGCAUAUCUCACCGUUCCGAAGGAAGCGCGACCAACUUUGCAUUCCCGAUAUUGGCAGGUGAUGAGAAAGCCAGGGGGUGCUCGAAGGACAACCAACCAGAUCUUGCCCAACAAAGCACGGCGCAACUGAGUCAUGCACCAGAGCCAGAGCCGCAUGAUGAGAAGAACGAAUCACCGAAAGCCGCAAUGGAAUCACCAAAAGCCGCAAUGGAAUCACCGAAAGCCGCAAUGGAAUCACCGAAAGCUGCAAUGGAAGCACCUAAACCUGAAGAAGCCCCAGUAGCGGAACCGGCACCAGCACCGGCGGAGCCACCUCCAGCGACAAAAAUGUUUCCCUGCUGUUCUUGCUGUCCAUUCUGUUGCUAA